UACGAAGGGUGCAAGCGUUAGUCGGAAUUACUGGGCGUAAAGGGCUCGUAGGUGGCCAACUAAGUCACACGUGAAAUCCCUCGGCUUAACCGGGGAACUGCGUGUGAUACUGGAUGGCUUGAGUUUGGGAGAGGGAUGCGGAAUUCCAGGUGUAGCGGUGAAAUGCGUAGAUAUCUGGAGGAACACCGGUGGCGAAGGCGGCAUCCUGGACCAAUACUGACGCUGAGGAGCGAAAGCCAGGGGAGCAAACGGG
rnacentral:rRNA from 1 species